rnacentral:lncRNA from 1 species
AACCUGUUUAAUCCCAUACAUGAUCAUACUCAUACAUAAAAUCUGUAAACUUUUUCUUUCAUUUACCAAGCUUAACAUAUGCAUACACAUACUCAUAAACAUAAACCCCACACUGGAGGCCUCAUCAAAUGCUCCAAUGGGGUAACAUAACAUACAUUAAACUUGGUUUACAUAAACAUUAUAAAAACACUACAUAGAUCAUGUGUAAAAGGGAUUAACUAUACAUACUAGGGUCAAACACAAUACUAAACCUCAAUAUACAUCAUUACAUUACAUGACUGUUCAAUACUUUACAUUACAAUAUUCUCAUGUCCACAACUAACUGACAGUGCGGUUGUCGAAGCCGGUCAAAAAUAACCUUCUUGGUUACCUACAAUUUACAAUUGCAGAUAGUGGUGAAGGAUCGUAUCCACAGAGAAUUGAUUACCUAUUUAUUUAUCUCAAUCAAGACCAAUAGAGCUAAUUGAAAGCACAAGUGAAAGCAAGUAAUUAAAGAGAAAUAGAAACAAGUGCAAGGAAAGUAAAAAAAAAGGGGGUUUUGAGAUUGAGUGUAGUAACUAAUAAUGAGAGUAAUAAUAGAAAGUAAAUAAUUAAAAUAAAAGGGGAAAUCAAUAUGAGAAAAGCCUAGUUGAAGAUAUGGAUCCACUUUGGUUGUUUGGAUUGAUCAUUAAAACUUAGAUUAUCUUGAUUGAUUCAAUAGAUUAGUUAUGGGGGUGGAAGACGCUUCUCACCACCAUGUCUCUCCUUAUGAUUAAAUUAAUUAGGGAACGUCCUCUAAUCAAUUACUAAUUAAUAAAUUGCCAAGGAACGUCCUUGGGCCAUAGGCAUCAAACAAUUGUCAAUUGCAUAAAGAAAUAGAGAGAUCCAAUCCUAGCUACCCAAACGUAUGGAGAUAACGCUAGAUCAUGCAAUUCCUUGGUUUUUACACCAAGUGUUCUAAGGUCAGAAUAUUUCCAGUAAUUACGGACUAAAAAUAAUCCCAACUAACAAUCAAUUAACUUUACAAUUAAAAUCAAGUGGCCAAUUUGAUCAAAACAACAAAGUAAUCAUAUAAUUAAAGCAUCAAUUGCAUGAAUAUUGAACAAAACCAAAGACAAUAAUUUAUGUUCAGAUCUCACAACCCAUUAAACAACCUUAGUUUCAACCAAUCCUCAACUAGAAUUAAGAAAAUCAGCCACUCAUUGACUGAAUUGAAAACAGAAAAAUAAAAGGAAAAGAAAAGAACCGAAAAUUGGAUUCUGCCCUUUUGCGCCGAGCACUGCCGAAUUGGAGAGAUGAGAAUUGAAAUUGUCUCCUCUCUGUCACCGGUUGGCUCUUUAAAUAGAGCAGAGGAGCAAUGCU